rnacentral:antisense_RNA from 1 species
CUUCACCGACCCCAGCAGGAGCGGGUGCGCCCGCUCCUGGCCGUAGGUCGCCAGCAGCGCCUGCGCCUC